rnacentral:piRNA from 1 species
UGGGCGGAGUCAUCAAGUAUUUCUCAAGAC